rnacentral:rRNA from 1 species
GUAGGUGGCAAGCGUUGUCCGGAAUUAUUGGGCGUAAAGCGCGCGCAGGCGGUUCUUUAAGUCUGAUGUGAAAGCCCACGGCUCAACCGUGGAGGGUCAUUGGAAACUGGAGAACUUGAGUACAGAAGAGGAAAGCGGAAUUCCACGUGUAGCGAUGAAAUGCGUAGAGAUGUGGAGGAACACCAGUGGCGAAGGCGGCUUUCUGGUCUGUAACUGACGCUGAGGCGCGAAAGCGUGGGGAGCAAACAGGAUUAGAUACCCUGGUAGUCCACGCCGUAAACGAUGAGUGCUAAGUGUUAGGGGGGUUUCCGCCCCCCUUAGUGCUGCAGCUAACGCAUUAAGCACUCCGCCUGGGAGUACGGCCGCAAGGCUG